CCCCCCCCCCCCGCCCCAUCCCGGCCCCGCACCCCUCGUGCCCCCGAGGUAAGAGCGGCCCCGGGGGCCGUGCUGCGGGCAGCCCGCGGACCCCGAGCCCCCUUCCCUGCCCGGCGCCCCCCGGGGGUCCCGGCGGCUCGGGGACGUUUUUCCCCUGUUUUUUCCCCUUUCUUCCCCGUUUUUCUUAUUUUUUCCCCGAUUUCCCCAUCCCCGGGGGCAGCAGCUGGGUGCCGGGGGUGCGUUGCCCAAGCGUGUUUUUUGGGGGAAACCUGGGCGAGCAGGGGGGCACGGAAUAGGCUGGAGAAGUGUUGUGCAGCUCUGAAGCGAGCACCUUUAAUCCUCAAUCUUUAGGGUUUUUGUCAAGCGCCAAAACCCAGCGCUCGGUACAACCCAUCCAGAACCAGGCGGUCUGCCACUGACGUGUCACUUGGGCCCCUUGGCAGCACAGGAGGGGCAGCAGGCCUGGUCUGCCUCCUCCCAUCCUCCUCUGCCUCCCAGGCUUUGGGGAUUCGGGCCACCAACUGAUGAUGACCCAGCUUAAUUUCUUUCCAGAAAACAUGACACAAUGCUUGAUUGAUGUGGGCUACAAGAGCUUUUGCUUGGAUAAGUGAAUCUUGGAACUCCCUGAGUCUCACGGGGAUGUCUGAAGAAUGUUCAUGUGCAAAUCAUUCACUUCAUUGCGCUGGCCUCACACAAGUGAAGAUCUCAUUAUUGAAAUGAGAGCUCUAUACAAAUAUUGGGCUAACAAAUUUAUACAGUUAUCUCACAAAGAUAAAUAGCUAAUGCAAUCUCAUGGUCUUUGGCCAAAAUGUUGCUAAUGUGGAAGGCUGGAGGUAUUACCAGGAGAAUAAUCUCACCAACACUUCAAUGCGACAAUUUAGAACGUGGGUGCUUAUUUUCCAGUACAUGUAGUACAUUAUUCCAUUGAUACAAAGCCUUCACUCGUUAAAAAGUGAGGGGAUUAGAUUGUAUCUGUUGAGGAGAGACUAAGAGACACGUAAUUAAACUUCAUGGAGAUUAUUUUACAAAAUACCAACAUUACAAUGUUUGUAUAUAUGUGAAGAAACUUGGAAACGUGAGGUAAAAAGCUACAUUCAAUGAAGUCACACGCAAUGACGGUUGCCAAAGCUUAACGGGACCUUGAGUAGAAGGAUUGCUAUAUAUUUUUUCCUAUUUCUUUCUUUUAAUUGUUGUUCUGGUGGGUGUGUGUGACUACUAUUGCUAACUCUUAAUGGUUUACACUAAUAAAUCAUUUUUAUAUAAACAGAACUUUAAAAUAAAAUUACUUUUUGAGUAUCUUGCAA